GUGCUCCCUUUGGUACCACAUACAGUAAAAAUUGGAAUGAUACAGAAAAGGUUAAUAUUGCCCCUGUACAAAGAUGACAUGCAAAUUCAUGAAGCAUUCCAUAUUUUU
ensembl:snRNA U6 U6 spliceosomal RNA